rnacentral:rRNA from 1 species
GGUUAAGCGACUAAGCGUACACGGUGGAUGCCCUGGCAGUCAGAGGCGAUGAAGGACGUGCUAAUCUGCGAAAAGCGUCGGUAAGGUGAUAUGAACCGUUACAGCCGGCGAUGUCCGAAUGGGGAAACCCAGUGCAAUUCGUUGCACUAUCGUUAACUGAAUACAUAGGUUAACGAGGCGAACCGGGGGAACUGAAACAUCUAAGUACCCCGAGGAAAAGAAAUCAACCGAGAUUCCCCCAGUAGCGGCGAGCGAACGGGGAGCAGCCCAGAGUCUGAAUCAGCUUGUGUGUUAGUGGAACGGUCUGGAAAGUCCGACGGUACAGGGUGAUAGUCCCGUACACCAAAAUGCACAGGCUGUGAACUCGAAGAGUAGGGCGGGACACGUGGUAUCCUGUCUGAAUAUGGGGGGACCAUCCUCCAAGGCUAAAUACUCCUGACUGACCGAUAGUGAACCAGUACCGUGAGGGAAAGGCGAAAAGAACCCCGGCGAGGGGAGUGAAAAAGAACCUGAAACCGUGUACGUACAAGCAGUGGGAGCACCUUCGGGUGUGACUGCGUACCUUUUGUAUAAUGGGUCAGCGACUUAUAUUCUGUAGCAAGGUUAACCGUAUAGGGGAGCCGCAGGGAAACCGAGUCUUAACUGGGCGUUAAGUUGCAGGGUAUAGACCCGAAACCCGGUGAUCUAGCCAUGGGCAGGUUGAAGGUUGGGUAACACUAACUGGAGGACCGAACCGACUAAUGUUGAAAAAUUAGCGGAUGACUUGUGGCUGGGGGUGAAAGGCCAAUCAAACCGGGAGAUAGCUGGUUCUCCCCGAAAGCUAUUUAGGUAGCGCCUCGUGAACUCAUCUUCGGGGGUAGAGCACUGUUUCGGCUAGGGGGUCAUCCCGACUUACCAACCCGAUGCAAACUACGAAUACCGAAGAAUGUUAUCACGGGAGACACACGGCGGGUGCUAACGUCCGUCGUGAAGAGGGAAACAACCCAGACCGCCAGCUAAGGUCCCAAAGUCAUGGUUAAGUGGGAAACGAUGUGGGAAGGCACAGACAGCCAGGAUGUUGGCUUAGAAGCAGCCAUCAUUUAAAGAAAGCGUAAUAGCUCACUGGUCGAGUCGGCCUGCGCGGAAGAUGUAACGGGGCUAAACCAUGCACCGAAGCUGCGGCAGCGACACUAUGUGUUGUUGGGUAGGGGAGCGUUCUGUAAGCCUGCGAAGGUGUGCUGUGAGGCAUGCUGGAGGUAUCAGAAGUGCGAAUGCUGACAUAAGUAACGAUAAAGCGGGUGAAAAGCCCGCUCGCCGGAAGACCAAGGGUUCCUGUCCAACGUUAAUCGGGGCAGGGUGAGUCGACCCCUAAGGCGAGGCCGAAAGGCGUAGUCGAUGGGAAACAGGUUAAUAUUCCUGUACUUGGUGUUACUGCGAAGGGGGGACGGAGAAGGCUAUGUUAGCCGGGCGACGGUUGUCCCGGUUUAAGCAUGUAGGCUGGUUGUCCAGGCAAAUCCGGAUAAUCAAGGCUGAGGUGUGAUGACGAGGCACUACGGUGCUGAAGUAACAAAUGCCCUGCUUCCAGGAAAAGCCUCUAAGCAUCAGGUAACAUUAAAUCGUACCCCAAACCGACACAGGUGGUCAGGUAGAGAAUACCAAGGCGCUUGAGAGAACUCGGGUGAAGGAACUAGGCAAAAUGGUGCCGUAACUUCGGGAGAAGGCACGCUGGUGUGUAGGUGAAGUCCCUGCGGAUGGAGCUGAGACCAGUCGAAGAUACCAGCUGGCUGCAACUGUUUAUUAAAAACACAGCACUGUGCAAACACGAAAGUGGACGUAUACGGUGUGACGCCUGCCCGGUGCCGGAAGGUUAAUUGAUGGGGUUAUCCGUAAGGAGAAGCUCUUGAUCGAAGCCCCGGUAAACGGCGGCCGUAACUAUAACGGUCCUAAGGUAGCGAAAUUCCUUGUCGGGUAAGUUCCGACCUGCACGAAUGGCGUAAUGAUGGCCAGGCUGUCUCCACCCGAGACUCAGUGAAAUUGAACUCGCUGUGAAGAUGCAGUGUACCCGCGGCAAGACGGAAAGACCCCGUGAACCUUUACUAUAGCUUGACACUGAACAUUGAGCCUUGAUGUGUAGGAUAGGUGGGAGGCUUUGAAGCGUGGACGCCAGUCUGCGUGGAGCCAACCUUGAAAUACCACCCUUUAAUGUUUGAUGUUCUAACGUUGGCCCCUUAUCGGGGUUGCGGACAGUGUCUGGUGGGUAGUUUGACUGGGGCGGUCUCCUCCCAAAGCGUAACGGAGGAGCACGAAGGUUAGCUAAUCCUGGUCGGACAUCAGGAGGUUAGUGCAAUGGCAUAAGCUAGCUUGACUGCGAGCGUGACGGCGCGAGCAGGUGCGAAAGCAGGUCAUAGUGAUCCGGUGGUUCUGAAUGGAAGGGCCAUCGCUCAACGGAUAAAAGGUACUCCGGGGAUAACAGGCUGAUACCGCCCAAGAGUUCAUAUCGACGGCGGUGUUUGGCACCUCGAUGUCGGCUCAUCACAUCCUGGGGCUGAAGUAGGUCCCAAGGGUAUGGCUGUUCGCCAUUUAAAGUGGUACGCGAGCUGGGUUUAGAACGUCGUGAGACAGUUCGGUCCCUAUCUGCCGUGGGCGCUGGAGAAUUGAGGGGGGCUGCUCCUAGUACGAGAGGACCGGAGUGGACGCAUCACUGGUGUUCGGGUUGUCAUGCCAAUGGCACUGCCCGGUAGCUAAAUGCGGAAGAGAUAAGUGCUGAAAGCAUCUAAGCACGAAACUUGCCCCGAGAUGAGUUCUCCCUGAGACUUUAAGUCUCCUGAAGGAACGUUGAAGACGACGACGUUGAUAGGCCGGGUGUGUAAGCGCAGCGAUGCGUUGAGCUAACCGGUACUAAUGAACCGUGAGGCUUAACCUU